GACGAACGCUGGCGGCGUGCCUAAUACAUGCAAGUCGAGCGCAGGAAACUGACGGAACUCUUCGGAGGGAAGGCAGUGGAAUGAGCGGCGGACGGGUGAGUAACACGUAAGGAACCUGCCUCAAGGAUUGGGAUAACUCCGAGAAAUCGGAGCUAAUACCGGAUAGUUCAACGGACCGCAUGGUCCGCUGAUGAAAGGCGCUCCGGCGUCACCUUGAGAUGGCCUUGCGGUGCAUUAGCUAGUUGGUGGGGUAACGGCCCACCAAGGCGACGAUGCAUAGCCGACCUGAGAGGGUGAUCGGCCACACUGGGACUGAGACACGGCCCAGACUCCUACGGGAGGCAGCAGUAGGGAAUCUUCCACAAUGGACGAAAGUCUGAUGGAGCAACGCCGCGUGAGUGAUGAAGGUUUUCGGAUCGUAAAACUCUGUUGUAAGGGAAGAACACGUACGAGAGGAAAUGCUCGUACCUUGACGGUACCUUACGAGAAAGCCACGGCUAACUACGUGCCAGCCGCCGCCGUAAAAC
rnacentral:rRNA from 1 species